rnacentral:lncRNA from 1 species
AGAUUCUCUCAUAUCUCACUUUCUCUCUCUUAAUUUACUCUCUCUUUCUUUUAUCUUUACUGUCAUCCACCUCAGAAUAUUUUCCUUUCAUUUUCCUAUAAAACUAAGAACAAUCAGCAACAACAGGGCUCUUUCAUUUUUUUUUUGACAUUUUUAUAAACAACAACUACUUCCUCCACUAUUAUCCAGAUCCCGCUAGCCACCAGAUCCAGCCAUCACUGAUAAACCAGUUCUGACGACCUCCCCGACAAAUACACUCCAAAUUUGGUAGUCCGCUACCAUCACUGAAAGUAAUAUUAUAUUUAAUUUUCUUAGUGAUUUUAUUUUUUUUGUGAUAUAUUGAUAUUGUUUUAUCUGUGCUAAAAUAUUUUUGGCCAAUGAUAUUAUCUCUCCGUCGGAUAUUUGAGGCCACCCCAUUAUAAAAGAUGAUUUUUAUUUUUUAAUUUAUUUAUUUAUCUGGAGGAAUUUGGACUCCAAUAGCAUUUAAUUUCGUUCAAUAUGCUAUUAUCAUGUUAUUAAAGUAGUUGUCUUUUGUUACUUUUCCUUGAUGGCUCAUUGUUAUCCGGUUGUUUAUAUUAUUAUUUUUACUUUAUUACUUUAUUUCUCCAAUUUUCUUGCAUUGAUGUUAUUUUAUUAUCCAUGUUGAUUUGUUUUGCUGUCAAACCACUCACGUGGUUUAAUGUUAUUUUAAUUAUUUAAAAUGUUCUUUGAUAUUAUACUUUAGUGAUCCCUUUUUUUUUUGCUUUUGUGAAAUUUCUUUUUUUAAAAAAAAAAAAUUAUUUUGCACUUUAACAUGUGUUCUUGUUUAUACGGAUUAACACAUGGCCGAUAAAUACGUAUAUACUUUGGGAAAUGAUGAAAUUGUUAUAAUUUUUUUGAAAACUUUACCAGAGCCCGCUUUUUACUAAAAAUUAUAUUUUUUAAUACAUAUAUGUGCGCAUGCCUUUUUAUAAGUAUUUCUUUGUUACUAACAUUUUUACUACAAGUAUUUGUACACGUUCUCGGGAAUACUUGUCGAACAGGACGCUCAAAAAGAGAGUUCAAGCUUAUUUUAUGUUUGUAUUUUUUUUAAUUUUUAUAGUUGCACAAAUAUUAUCAUAGUGAAACUUUAUUUUUUGAGGUGUUGGGUGGGGAUGUUCUUUAUUUAUAUAAUCUUUAACACACGGGUAGGUAAAUUUAGGCCGUCAAUAUUUAUAUUAAAUUGAUUUAGACAUCUAAUCAAAUAAUUCACAAUUUUUCCACUAAAAACAUUACAUAAUCUUUUCUUUAAAAUAAAUUUUCUUUUAUUCAAUCUUUAUUUUUCUUUUCAUAUACGUUCUUAUAUAUAAUUUUAUUUACAUAUUUUCAUAUACUUUUAUACAAGUUUUACUAUAAUAUAGAUAAUUUGUACAUCUUAUAUACAUAAAUUAUUUACAUCAUUUUAAUACACAUUUCAUAUUUGUAUAUACACAUAUAUAUAUUUUUUUAAUCUUUUAAUAAACCUAAGUCUGGUCGGGAACUACAUUUGUGAAUUUUGAAGGGUGCCUAAUACCUUUUCUUCGGAAUAAUUUGAACCCUUACCUAGAAUCUAAAUUGGUUCGUAGAUUAAAACACAAGUCAUACAUGUUAAUAAAUAAAUGAAUUUCCUUAUUUUCCUUAAAAAUUAAGUGGCGACUCUGUACAUAAUUUUUUUUAUUCUUUUAGAGUCCAUAAGUCGUGCUUGUUGACAGAAUGACGACUCUAAUGGGGACAUGCAAGGUUCUAACCAUUACAGAUUUAGGUAAAUAUUUAUUUUUUUCUGCAUUAUUAUUUAUGUCUUUCUAAUUGUCAUGAUUUAUCAUGUUUGUGUGUACAAAUUGCUAUUUGUUUUGUAUAGUUUGUUUAUUUGUUUAUUGCUUUAUAUAAAUUAUUAUCUCGUUCAUAUUUCUUCCAUUUGAGAAAAGCUGACACAAUCAAGUGAGGUGUUUCUUACGCACCCACAAAUUUUUUUCAAAAUCUUAAAUUUUAGGAGAGUUGGCGUAUGCGCAGGGUGUCUGGAUCUUUUUCUGCGUGCCCGUGUAGCCUUCUCACUCGAGUAGUCCGCUCGAGAACCACAGGUCUAGCAAACUCACUCUUAGUCGAACAUAGGAUAGAGCUAAAAUAAUACCUUUUAGGUGCAUGCAUUGUUAGUCAACUUUAUGUCUGAAGGGUUCACGACCCAAGUGACACGUCAUCAUAUUCUUUGUACAUAUUUGAACAAUUAUUGUGUCUGUACAUAUUUGUUUGCUCUAAAUUGGUUAUACUUUAGUGAGAAGGUAUAGUCUAACCUUUAUUUUGCAUAGUGGAUUAGUUAAAAGAUACACCUUACCAACAUCACCACUAGUUGUGUUUAGUCCUGAACUAUGUAGACCUGAUUCUUGUUUUCACAAGAUACGUAGGCAAUCCUCAUUUAGGUUCGGUCCCAUUUUUUUUUACAAAAAAAAAUAUAAAAAAAUUGACUUGGUUGAUACCAAUAUAAUUAGGAGUGCAUGAGAGAGAAUAAUUGGUAUGAUGGAGAGGACCGACUUCAUGGUAAACCAUAGGUUCUUUUGGUACCUUUUAUCACACCUGAGUAAUACUUGAAAAAUUCUCUUGCAUACAUCUAAGACAAGAAUGAAGCCAACCUCAUCGUUUCAUGUGCAUUGUCUGGUGAGAUUUAGUUUAUAAUUCAUUACAUUGCAUUGUUGAUCUAGAACUUGGCCUAAAUGUUUUUUGAGGCAAAAUUCUGAGUUACAAUUGAUUUAGGAAAGGAUCGUAGGCCUUUUCUGACCUGAUUGAGACUUUCAUAACCCACCAAUUGACAUUAAUCCCCAGCAUUCACCUUUUGUGCCUAAAACUUUUUCUUUGGACAACCGCAUUUGUGCCUAUACCUUUUUGAGUGCUUAUGUGCACUAUCCCUCUUUUGACCCUACCUUCUUGAGCGCACUAAAUAUGUGCAAAUUGUGGACAGAGAUUCAAGAUCAAAGACGUAAAAUACACAGGAUAUAUUGUCCCAGAUUAAAAAGAUUAAAAAAAACGACUUCAAAGGAGCAAAAACUCGAUAAAACAUUACAAAAAUAUAUAGUUUGUCAAAAAAAGAAAAAAAAAAGGAAAACUCCAACAUGAGAUUCAAAAGAAGUCAAAGCAAAUACAAAACAAGGGGUAAAGAAACAUAACAGAGAAGAUCAAGCGUCAAAACGCAAUAAAUGUCAAAAGCACGAAUACAGUGCAAUGCUCAAUAAGGAAUUAGUCACUUUUAUCUCAAAUAUUAUCCUACCCGUCCCUAAGCCUACAUUACAAGCCGAUAGCAAGUCCUACGAGAUUAUAUUUUAAGUGUUCUCACAUUAGUGGAUACUUACAUAAAGGUCAAGCCUAUGGUAUCGCAAUUGCAUGCAUUGAAUUUCUUUUUGAGUGUGAGUGUAUUUCUUAAUACGUCCAAAAAAAAAUUGUGUGAAAUGGGACUUU